rnacentral:rRNA from 1 species
GUGGGGAAUCUUGCGCAAUGGGCGAAAGCCUGACGCAGCCAUGCCGCGUGAAUGAUGAAGGUCUUAGGAUUGUAAAAUUCUUUCACCGGGGACGAUAAUGACGGUACCCGGAGAAGAAGCUCCGGCUAACUUCGUGCCAGCAGCCGCGGUAAUACGAAGGGGGCUAGCGUUGCUCGGAAUUACUGGGCGUAAAGGGCGCGUAGGCGGACAGCUUAGUCAGAGGUGAAAGCCCAGGGCUCAACCUUGGAAUUGCCUUUGAUACUGGCUGUCUUGAGUUUGGGAGAGGUGAGUGGAACUCCGGGUGUAGAGGUGAAAUUCGUAGAUAUUCGGAAGAACACCAGUGGCGAAGGCGACUCACUGGCCCAAUACUGACGCUGAGGCGCGAAAGCGUGGGGAGCAAACAGGAUUAGAAACCCCGGUAGUCC